rnacentral:rRNA from 1 species
CGCCAGACUCCUACGGGAGGCAGCAGUGGGGAAUAUUGCACAAUGGGGGAAACCCUGAUGCAGCGACGCCGCGUGAGCGAUGAAGUAUUUCGGUAUGUAAAGCUCUAUCAGCAGGGAAGAAAAUGACGGUACCUGACUAAGAAGCCCCGGCUAACUACGUGCCAGCAGCCGCGGUAAUACGUAGGGGGCAAGCGUUAUCCGGAUUUACUGGGUGUAAAGGGAGCGUAGACGGCUGUGCAAGCCAGAUGUGAAAGCCCGGGGCCCAACCCCGGGACUGCAUUUGGAACUGUGUGGCUGGAGUGUCGGAGAGGCAGGCGGAAUUCCUAGUGUAGCGGUGAAAUGCGUAGAUAUUAGGAGGAACACCAGUGGCGAAGGCGGCCUGCUGGACGAUGACUGACGUUGAGGCUCGAAAGCGUGGGGAGCAAACAGGAUUAGAUACCCCGGUA